rnacentral:rRNA from 1 species
GCCGACCUUGAAAUACCACCCUUUAAUGUUUGAUGUUCUAACGUGGACCCGUGAUCCGGGUUGCGGACAGUGUCUGGUGGGUAGUUUGACUGGGGCGGUCUCCUCCUAAAGAGUAACGGAGGAGCACGAAGGUUGGCUAAUCCUGGUCGGACAUCAGGAGGUUAGUGCAAUGGCAUAAGCCAGCUUGACUGCGAGCGUGACGGCGCGAGCAGGUGCGAAAGCAGGUCAUAGUGAUCCGGUGGUUCUGAAUGGAAGGGCCAUCGCUCAACGGAUAAAAGGUACUCCGGGGAUAACAGGCUGAUACCGCCCAAGAGUUCAUAUCGACGGCGGUGUUUGGCACCUCGAUGUCGGCUCAUCACAUCCUGGGGCUGAAGUAGGUCCCAAGGGUAUGGCUGUUCGCCAUUUAAAGUGGUACGCGAGCUGGGUUUAGAACGUCGUGAGACAGUUCGGUCCCUAUCUGCCGUGGGCGCUGGAGAACUGAGGGGGGCUGCUCCUAGUACGAGAGGACCGGAGUGGACGCAUCACUGGUGUUCGGGUUGUCAUGCCAAUGGCACUGCCCGGUAGCUAAAUGCGGAAGAGAUAAGUGCUGAAAGCAUCUAAGCACGAAACUUGCCCCGAGAUGAGUUCUCCCUGAGACUUUAGGUCUCCUGAAGGAACGUUGAAGACGACGACGUUGAUAGGCCGGGUGUGUAAGCGCAGCGAUGCGUUGAGCUAACCGGUACUAAUGAACCGUGAGGCUUAACCUUACAACGCCGAA